CAUGAAUAUCUCCUUUGUAUUUAUGAUGAUUUUUUCAGGGCUGUUGGUCAAUCUCAGGACCGUUGUGCCUUGGCUGUCAUGGCUUCAGUACUGGAGCAUCCCUCGUAUGGCUGUGCGGCUUUGCAGCACAAUGAAUUUUGGGGACAGAACUUCUGCCAGGGACUCAAUGUAACAGCAAACACUACCUGUAGCUUUGCAAUAUGCACUGGAGAAGAAUUCUUGAUGGACCAGGGCAUCGAUCUCUCACCUGGGGCCUGUGGCAGCAUCACGUAGCCUUGGCAAGCAUGACUGUUGUCUUCCUUACAGUGCUGACCUAAAAUGGUUAUUUCUUAACAAAUAU